AUGGAACGAAUGGAAGUGGACCAGUGCGCAGGCGCAACUACCGGGAGCGGCGGAGGGGCUCUUCGUAGAUCGAACAGCGCCCCCAUGAUUACAAGUGUCAGUGAUGGUAUGACAGUGUUCAGUCCAACUAGUUCAGCCCGGUAUCGGCGAAGCAGUGUCUCUGUGAAUCCCAGUUGCCCUUAUCGGGCCGUCCCCCUGUCCCCUUUCUCAUUGGGUGGUGAGAGACCAGACCACAAAAGGCAGGUUGAGAAUAUGGAGAUGACACUCAGGGGGAGUCUUCAGAGACUAAGUGCUUCCAACCUGGUCCCUCCUCCUGUCAGUCACUGGCAUGACCAUUCAUCAGGGGGAUUCCAUUCACAGGACAGUGGUGUCACACCCAAUUCGUCCCCUAGUCCAACUCGAAGGUUCAGGGGGCCUACAGUCAGUUCUACUGUGAGAUGGCCUGCCCUAACUCCACUGAAAAGGAAAGGAGGAGUGGAGUCUGAUGGCCCGCCCAAGAAGCUGUUUGUUGCCGGGGUAACAGAACCUGCUCACCGGACUAGUUACACAGUCAGUGUGUCCCAGGCGUCUGCAGACUCUCCUACAGGUGGUGUGUCUGUGUGUGAUGCCAGUCCCCAGGGUAGUCCACUGUCCCUGUCUCCUCCCCCCUCUUACCAGCCCAACAUCUAGACACCCUAACACCAGGAGCCUAUCAUAGACCAGGACUACAGUCAGCCUGUCAGGGCCCUGGAUCCCUCUCAACACAGCCUCACUGACCCAGUCCACCUAUCAGAGCCUGGGAAUCAACUCAGUAAGCCUAUCAGAACCCUAGUUUCUACGCAAUCUGCCUAUCAGGGAGCACUCCUCUCUCUCAAACCAUCAGAGCCUUGGGGAAACAUAUUCCUUGGCUCCUGAAGUAAUCAGAUCUGGAUUUGUAAUCAAGAUAAUAUCUAGAUGUUAUACAAAGACUGGCACCCGUGCUUUGUUAAUCAGAAGGUUGCAGGAAAUGCCCUGCUAAAGGAAGUUGGUGACCAGCGCAUUGUAAGGUGGUGUCAGGGUGAAGAGAUUGUGAUGACAAUGGGAAAGAACUUAGAAAAUCGUUUGACUAACUUCUGGACUCACUUUUCGCUGUAGUUGACAUGUGGGUUGUGUUGUGAUAACCAAUGUCAACUAUGGUUGUAAUUUUCCUUGUUGGGAUUUUGUUUAUCUCAUAUCUAGAGGUGUUACUGGUACUGUAAAACAGAAUGAGUUCUUCCAAUAGUCAAGAAAAGGCCUUGUCUGAAGUUGUGUUCAGGGGUAACGGUGAGGGAACGUUAUAUCCCACUGAACGGGACCCAAUAGUCCAGUAUUCUUUGAUAGUCCAGAAGUUAGCGCUCAAACAUGAGACAUUAAGUCACCACAGCGGACUGCCGAGCCGGUGGUGGCUCUGAGUUUGUCUAUAUGUGAAUAGUGUAUUGAUAUGUGAAUACGCAGAUAUAAGCAGGGCUGCCUUUAUGGCCCCUCACUUUCUCUGGCUGUGGGGGUUUGUACUGUAAAUAUAGAAUCCCCAAGCAAAGCUCUGCCCAGAGGACCCUCCCAAUCCUGGUCCUUAAGGGCCCAAUCCUAAUGAUUGUUCUGCGUGGACACUGGUAACUCAAAUUUUAGCACAAAUCUGUCAUUAACAUGACAGAGCAAUUCCGCUGUAUCAGUGACACAAACCACGUUUCCAUCCACAGUUUUUAUGCUAGUAAAGUCAUAUUGUAUACAUUUUUUUUUACGACAGCUGUGAUGGUAACAGGAAGUUUCGGUACAAUUUUAUAAAUGCCGACAGAUAAUUUGUUCAUUCGACAUGGUGGGAUCUUUUGGUGUCUGUAAAAUAAAUUAUGCGAGAAAUGGCUUUAUGCGCUAAUAUUGAUAUAAUAACCAUCAUAUGGAAGUAAACUUGGAGUCACACGAUGACGUGUGGUCCUCCCACUACAACUCAGGGAAACCAUACAGUUUAUUAGGCUACAGAUGAAAUAAGUUAUGAACUUCACAGGGUGGGGAAAGUGCACGGUAUGAGCUUGAUGCUCUUUUGUAAUAAAUAUCGAGAGUCUUAUUCUGGUGACAUGAUGAUCGAUACUUGACUGCCAUUUUGACAAAUAAAAAUAUUCUCGCUCUUAUCCAUAAUAAUCUCAUCAUGUAGACUAACCUACCUGCACUGUAUUGGCUAGAGCGCACAUGCCAAGGACCAGAGUAGGCACAUUUGCUAUUUAACGCAACUGUUUGUGACCAAAGUAUUGGUAGAGUUAAAUGUGAUGGAAACACAUUUUUAUUCGAUACAUGAAAACUUAAGCAAAAAAAGUGUUUUGUGUGCACUGUCAUCACACACUGAUUAUCUGCAACAAGUCAGUUUGGUGGAAACACCACCACCAUAUUUUAGAAUAUUCAAAUGAUAAUCUGUCGCCAAUUGGAUGGAAACCUAGCUACAGACUCAGAUUUUUCUAUUUAAAAUGUAUGUCAAACAAAAACCAAUGAUUGCAAAGUUAAACACCAUACAACUCUAUGCACAAGGACUACUUUGAACAAUUUCACCUGAACAUUUUACAAAAACACAUUUACUUGACGAAGGAAUCACCUCUUGACAGGUGUGUGUGUGUGUUCUUUAGUUAGAUAGAAAGGACCAGCACUGGGGAUCUCAGUCCUCUGGGUAGAGCGUGAUAUUACCCUUUCUCUAUAUGGGUACUUUAACAGAGGUAGUCUGUGGGGUGUUACCAUACAUUUUUCCCAUGGAUUACAUUGCUGACCAGUCUUAUUCAAAUUCUGUAAUGUGGUAUGGUUAUACAUGCUCAGUACCCUGGUAGAUAGAUAUCAUAAGUGACAUCAAGGGCAUAUCAUGCUGUUUGGGUUAAUGUCAUUGAUGGGAAAGUUAUGUUGUUUUUUACCCCAUGACUAUGUGACCUCCAGACCUUUUGACUUGUGAAAUAUAUAGUCUAUAUAAGCUGCUUAGAGAAGUGUCUUGUACAAAAACAGAAUGUUAUCGACAGUAACUGUGUAAUACUCUUAAUUCAAAUGCCCUUUCCAGAGCUGAGUUUUACAGCAAUGGACAGAAAAUGUCUCCUUUUUGUAGACCUACUUCCAAUUUUCACAAUUUUGCACAGUAUUAGUUUCACAUUAUUAAUCAAUAUUGCUGUUACACGAAUGGGAUCAUAUCCUGAUUUUAAGACAUGCUGUUGCUUUGUAUAUUCUUUGCUUCAUUUGCUUGUUUCUCAUCAGGUUACUGUCUCAGAGAAGUGCUUGGGUCAGCAAGGGUUGAGGGUCAUCUGCUGAUCUUAACCACUGAUUUUAGAUGAAGGAAUUUUGUUUUUCCUUAGUGACAAUCAGUGAAUUUGGAGGGAAAUAAAACCUCCACUUCAAGUUAUAUUCAUGUUCACUUGUUCUCAAGACUGUAGUUAUAUUUUGACUGCAUACAUUGUUUAGAUUGACAACCAGCAUCACAGCUCCAUUUCUCGCCAAGGUGUAUGAUUGAGAUCCUAGUGUAGAUGAUCAAUCAACUCACAUUGCCAAACCCAAAUGAUUACCUUUUCAUACUCAUUGUACAGACAGACUAGCUUUCAAACACAUGUAUUUGAUACGCUUUCCUAAUUAUGGGGAGAUAUUCUGUAAAUGCAUACUGAGUCAAAUGACAUGAACAUCCACAAAAGAUACUGAUCUCUGUCUGAUAUAGCUAACUCCAUUUUAAUCUGCAGUUAACCUACAAGUAAAACUUGCAAUCAAAUGUCACUAAAAUUCAAUAGUAGUUUCACCAAUCCCAUCCUUGUUGCAGAAGAUAAACUAGAGGGAAAUAAAUACAUUUGGACAUGAUCUGAAGCCAAAUAUAGAAUAAUCUGUUGAUGUUCAUUGCAGUUGACCCACAGGGUUUGCAUGCCUUAUCAGCAGUGUUUCCCAGUGUUCUGUCAUAUGAGACCACUGCCUGUAGGAGACAGGCCUGGGUCUGACCAAGGAGACAAACAGAGGCCACGUCUGGCUGUCUCAAUUGCAAUACUUCAACCAGGAGACCAUCUGGUUGGUGCGAGGUCAGUUAAACACACUUCAUUUGUAUUGCCAUUUACUGAUUAUUUUAUUGUUUCCUUUUCAUUAUUGUUGCUGUUGUCAUUAUACAAAAUAUCACAUUUAAAAAAAAAUGCGAACAGCCACAAUCUUAAAAAUGAUUGUUUUCCAAAUAUGACAUGUCAGUGUUGGAGGGCUCCUUUUUUUUUAUUUUUUACUGACAAUAGAAUAAACAAAGAGAGAGAGGAGGAAAUAAAGAUGUUAUUGUGAGAAAGGGAAUUAAAGCACAUUGCCAGAACAUUCAGACAAGUAUUUUCAAACUGUAAAUAGCUUUGACAAGUCUCUACCUAAAGAGAAGAUUGUAUUUUUAUGGAACUGUAAGCACAAGAAAGAGUGAGAAUAAUGUACACCUUUUAAAUAUAUUGUAUUAUAUAUAUAUAUAUAUAUAUAAAUAAAAAAUCAUGAUAAAAAGUCACUGUAUUAUUUUAGAAAACCUGUGGACUUUCCUUUGUCUCCAUAGAUAAUUUGAUUUGGUCACCUGUACAUUUCUGCAAUAUUUUUUAUUACAGCCGCUAGAUGGCAGACUGAACCGCUGCAUUCUAUGAGCCCAGUGAAACAGACACAAAAGAGAUUAACAUUUUACUUAACAUCAACAUAAGAGGAAACAUGUCAUGCACAACCAUUGUGAACAAAAUGAAAUACCAGUAAUAGCUGGAUAGCUGGUGUCUUGCAUUUAUAAAUAUCAACCAGUGGUACACAACAUGUACACUGACUCUACACAAUGGACUUUUUAUUUUAUUUUUUACCUUUAUUUAACUAGGCAAGUCAGUUAAGAACAAAUUCUUAUUUUCAAUGACGGCCUUGUUCAGGGGCAGAUUUGUACCUUGUCAGCUCAGGGAUUAGAUCUUGCAACCUUUCGGUUACUAGUCCAACGCUCUAACCACUAGGCUAUGCUGCCGCCCCAAACAUCUGCACUGAAACACCAUUUCUCUCUGGAGAUCAUGAACAGCAUAUGUUCAGCUGCAAUACAGUACUUUGAAAAUUAGCAGAGCAAAUAAAUGUUACAAUACAAAAAAGCUAUACAUCACACAAACUAGAUUUGUGAGAAACAGCCAAAUAGAAGGGUUCCUCGGUAGAAAUGCCCCAGACUGAAUAGAGAAGUACUUGAUGGGGAGAGGGGUCUGUUCAUAAAAAUACACACAUUUAUCUGCUUAAAUGUGUCCAAAAAAGCUCUGUAACAAAGAUACUAACUGUAGUCUGCUCUCUGGUGAUAUAGGGACUGAGUGUUUCCAACCCA
rnacentral:lncRNA from 1 species